rnacentral:rRNA from 1 species
AUUGAACGCUGGCGGCAGGCUUAACACAUGCAAGUCGAGCGGAAACGAUGUAGCUUGCUACAGGCGUCGAGCGGCGGACGGGUGAGUAACGCGUAGGAAUCUGCCUAGUAGUGGGGGACAACAUGUGGAAACGCAUGCUAAUACCGCAUACGCCCUACGGGGGGAAGGAGGGGAUCUUCGGACCUUUCGCUAUUAGAUGAGCCUGCGUAAGAUUAGCUAGUUGGUAGGGUAAAGGCCUACCAAGGCGACGAUCUUUAACUGGUCUGAGAGGAUGGCCAGUCACACUGGGACUGAGACACGGCCCAGACUCCUACGGGAGGCAGCAGUGGGGAAUAUUGGACAAUGGGCGCAAGCCUGAUCCAGCCAUGCCGCGUGUGUGAAGAAGGCCUUAGGGUUGUAAAGCACUUUCAGGGGUGAGGAAGGGUGUUUGGUUAAUAUCCAAACAUUUUGACGUUAGCCCCAGAAGAAGCACCGGCUAACUCUGUGCCAGCAGCCGCGGUAAUACAGAGGGUGCAAGCGUUAAUCGGAAUUACUGGGCGUAAAGCGCGCGUAGGUGGUUUGUUAAGUCGGAUGUGAAAUCCCAGGGCUCAACCUUGGAAUGGCACCCGAUACUGGCAGGCUAGAGUAUGGUAGAGGGGUGUGGAAUUUCCUGUGUAGCGGUGAAAUGCGUAGAUAUAGGAAGGAACAUCAGUGGCGAAGGCGACACCCUGGACUAAUACUGACACUGAGGUGCGAAAGCGUGGGGAGCAAACAGG